rnacentral:lncRNA from 1 species
CUUCUCUUAGAUUGCUAAGACAGAGAGCUAUUCUGCUCCACCAGACGUCCCAACCAAGCUUCAGCCAUCCGACCCGAACUCCCCAGCAAGUCACGAUAAUGGACACCACUCCACUCUCUGUAACAAACUCCAUGUGGCCCCGAACGACCUACUACCAGGCAGUUACAGAUGUCGCUGUUAAUCAGUUAUGCUCUCCCAUCUAUAAAAGGGACCCCCC